CCUACGGGAGGCAGCAGUGGGGAAUAUUGGACAAUGGGGGGAACCCUGAUCCAGCGACGCCGCGUGAGUGAAGAAGUAUUUCGGUAUGUAAAGCUCUAUCAGCAGGGAAGAAAGAAAUGACGGUACCGGACUAAGAAGCACCGGCUAACUACGUGCCAGCAGCCGCGGUAAUACGUAGGGGGCAAGCGUUAUCCGGAUUUACUGGGGGGAAAGGGAGCGUAGACGGCGAUGCAAGUCUGAAGUGAAAGGCGGGGGCCCAACCCCCGGACUGCUUUGGAAACUGUAUGGCUGGAGUGCAGGAGAGGUAAGUGGAAUUCCUAUUGUAGCGGUGUACUGCUUAGAUAUUAGGAGGCACUCCAGUGGCGAAGGCAGCUUACUAAACUGUGCCUGACAUUGAUGCUC
rnacentral:rRNA from 1 species